GCCUCCCUACCUACCUGCUCGAUAUCCGAUCGAUUGCUAAUACUCUGUAGAAUAGAGAAUGCUAGAUAUCUGCCUACCUACCUGCGUGAUAUCCGAUCGAUUGCCAAUGGAAUAUACAGAAUUAGAAUCCCUCCUAGAUAGAUAGCUUGCUAUCUAUCUUACAUCCCUAUCUAUCAACCAACCUUCCCGCUCAACAUCCAAUCAUUCUCUACGAGAAUAAAUACCACCAUCUAGCUACCCAUCUAUCUAUCAAUGCUAGCUUACCUAGCUGACUACCUGACCACCUACCUAUCUACUGUACAUCUAUCUACUGAUGAUACUAAUAUAUAACUACUCACUUUUGCUCCGUCCUGUCCAGUUGCACUGCACGAUUCAUGAAGCUCCUGCUAUAUAGAGUGUUGUGUGCCUGAGCUGGCCCAACCCUUUGAAGCAAUUAAUGAUGCCUGAUGCCUAAACUUUGAAUGCUUGCAACAGAAACAUGAUUUUGACUUUUGAAGUCUUUCCAAAUACAUCAAUGAACAUUUUGCAAUUGUUUUUUUUUAGUGUAAUUUGAAAGAUUUAACUAGACGUGG
rnacentral:sRNA from 1 species